GUGGGGAACCACAUCUCAGUUUACUAAAAGGCUCAUCUGUUUAGUCACUUCUGUGUUACUUUGUAUAGUUUGAGAGAACCAAUUCCUCUUCAUAUGAGAGAAUACAACCAGCUAGGAGUCACAACAUCUCUCUUAUGCUUUAGUUUUUACUACAAAGUUUUUCACCUAAAUAAACUUCAGUAAUUGAUGUUGAGUAAACACAUGGCCCUCAGUCCAAAAUGGUGGACAGCACAUUAUUUAUGGGUGAACGAGGCAUUAUCAUUUAACGCCUAUCCAACACAUUUAUCUAAAGGUUAUUUAAAUCUGGUGCUUUGAAGCAGGGCAGUUUACUGGAAAAAUUAAUUUUAAGUACACUCAAGCACUUAAGAAAGCCCCGUUUGUUUUUACUUGGGAAAACAGAUCCCUGAAGGACGUCACUUUUCUCCAGACACAAACUCAUAUGAUUUAUUAUUGAAUUAAGAAAACCUCAUGUCAUUUCUAAAUCUCUGCUGUCACAGAACCAUGGGCUUUAUUCAAAAGAUGGCAUGAGAUGCACAUCCCCAGAUUAUCUGCCAACCUGGGUUGAAAAGAGAGCGGCCACAAGAAGGAAUGACUCUGGCAGAGCAGCUGCAUUACAAUGUUCUGCUUCCUACUGUGACAAGACAGUCCAACACUGAAAAGUCCAAACUUCACACUCGGUUGGAGAAGGACACCUUUACCUCACUAUUGCACUGCACGCAGGGUUUCUAGCAAGCAGAGAGAAGGUCUUCCUUGACUUGAAAAGUUGCAGAUACCACAUGAAACCGUUGAGGAGUAUCACCACUUUGCAAAGGACUGAGUUGUUCCAGACAUUGGACAGAUCUUUCUACAAAAAUCAGAAUUUAAAGCCUGAAAAUACCCCUUUGCCCACAUUCUCCUGCACAAAUAUUGACUGGAGUCGAAACCCAUUGUCGUCAACCACUGGCACAAGGUCAGUAACAUGGAGGACAGAUAGAAGACUAGGGAGCAAGACCCAACGGAGUACUGAACCAAGUGACUGAAUGACUGAGAAACUUGUGUCCAUGUCAACUGCAGCCCGAGGGAGACAAGAGUACCAGGCAGCACAGUGAUUAUAUGGAGAACAUAGACAGAAUUCCAUAAGAGCUGACACUGUAAUAAACACUAUGAUAAAACAAUGGUGAAAGUUCCA
rnacentral:lncRNA from 1 species